GUUGCAGUACACAUAGUAUUCAUAGUGUUUUGUGUUGAGAGCAUGAUCGCAGGGACCUUCCUCAUCUUUGGUGCGCUGAUGGUAACAUUACUACUCGGCGCCAAACAUUUACUCGCAAUGGACCGUGUUAAUAACGAAAUUCCAAUUACAAAUUUAACUGGAUUCGGCGGUGACAGGGUCAACUUGGUUUUAAGAAGAUUAAAGAUGUAUAAAGAA